CACAAGUCACGUGUGUCGUGCCUCGUGCGUUUAUUGUAAUUUGUGAAGCAGGAAAGUGAUUCAGCAAAUGUAAAUGCAAAAGUAGAGACAGAGAAAGCAGAUGGAGGUAAAGAAAUACUGUUGAACAUUAUGGAGGGCUAUGUGAAUGUUUCAAUGAAUUAUCUUAUAUUCGAGAGCUAUAUGAGGUGACUUGAGAAAAAAAUCUUGACAAGAAUGAUUAAAAGAUGUAUAGAAGUUUGUGAUCUACCGAGAUGCUGCCGAUUUCAAAUUAUCACACUUUGUUUAAAUUUUUGAAGGAGCGUAUAUACUUGGAUAAGGG